rnacentral:rRNA from 1 species
AGGGCACCACCAGGAGUGGAGCCUGCGGCUUAAUUUGACUCAACACGGGGAAACUCACCCGGCCCGGACACCGUAAGGAUUGACAGAUUGAUAGCUUUUUCAUGAUUCGGUGGAUGGUGGUGCAUGGCCGUUCUUAGUUCGUGGAGCGAUUUGUCUGGUUUAUUCCGAUAACGAGCGAGACUCUAGCCUACUAAAUAGUUCGCACAUUGUCUCUGUGUGUGUGACUUCUUAGAGGGAUUUUCGGUGUUCAGCCGCACGAAAUUGAGCAAUAACAGGUCUGUGAUGCCCUUAGAUGUCCGGGGCUGCACGCGCGCUACACUGGCAAAAUCAGCGUGCUUGUCCUUCCCCGAAAGGGGUUGGUAAACCCUUGAAAAUUUGCCGUGAUUGGGGAUUGUAAAUUGCAAUUAUUUUCCAUGAACGAGGAAUUCCAAGUAAGUGCGAGUCAUCAGCUCGCGUUGAUUACGUCCCUGCCCUCUGUACACACCGGCCCGUCGCUGCCCGGGACUGAGCCAUUUCGAG